GGUUCGAGUUCGCUGUGGGCGGACGGCAUCAACUGCGGUCCAGCCAUGCCCGCCUGUCUUGGAGCCAACUGAGUGUGGACUGAAACCUCCAAAAACUUUCUCUUCUGUUUGAUUUUUACUAUGUCUGAAGGUAUAUGCAGCUAUUUCAAGACAACAAGAGGCAUUAAGGCUUCCUCUGAACUGGACCUGGAAUCCUUCCAUAAAGACAGGAUCUUCUAUGCACCUCCACACGUUACAGUCCCCUCCAAAAAAGAGCAGAUGGUGCACAAUGCCGCUGUGAAGAUCAAGGCGAAGCGCAGAACCCUACCCUUAACAUUCUACUGAUUCCAUCCUCUGAAGGUGGUUUCUAGCCUCAGAGGUCGACAGAACUGAGCACAUCAGACGCGUGUGUUACUGGAUAUGUGACUUUCACUUGCUGAUAUUCAGCACAUGGAACUGCUAAAAGGCAGCCUCUGCCUUGAUUCACAGCUCAUCCUGAGAACAUAGUGUCAAACAGAGGACUCAGAAGCCUGGUUCUGCCAUGGUGGAUAAAAGAAUUGAAACAUCACUGAAGAUAGCCUUGGUGAGGCAGCCUGCGAGCUUCAGCGAGCCGCCGGGUGAGAAAGAAAAAUAAAAGCAUAUCCUGCUGUCAGUCUUGGGCUGGACAGGAAAUGAACUGGUCACUCUGAGAUGGGAAAGCAGAGAUUUCCUUUGGGGUCUGUGCUCCAUGCUCCAGGGCGCCAGCCUCCCUGCACCCACUGCACUGCAGAGAGCAGCUCUUCACAGAAGGACCUUGAGAUUCUUGUAGAGCGAAGAGAAGGACUCUACUCAGGAGGCGAAGAACUAUCCUCACUGUAAGGCCUGAACUGGACCUGACUCCCAGGCCUCAGCUUGCCUGCCAGCAGAAGCACUACACCCAGCAGGGAACUCAGCUCAGCACUGAAGCUGUCACAGGCAAGCACAGGAUGUUAUAAAGAAGAUAAGAUAGGACAAGGAAUUGUGCAGAUCGCAGGACAUCUGGAGCUCUGCCUAUCAAGUGAAAGACUGCAGCAAACUUGGACCACUGAUGUUUAUUAAAAUCGUCCUGCCUAAUGUCCUCUACCUUCUUUGCAUCCCUAUAAAAGGGACACACUUCUCUUUAUUCCCUCCAGAAGGUCUGUUUGUUUUAUGUUUGCCUGCACCCAGGCACAAUGAAUUCCACACCACGUUGCCUGUACACGAGCCUGUUGGUCUCCGCUGGUCCUCUCUUCCCUGGCCCUGGGUGUCAUUCCCUUUGGGAGAAAAGAGUAAAGAAAGCUUGAUUUGUUUGGUGUAGGCCAAAAGUCUCUCUUGUCUUGAAAAGAAAGCAUAUUCUUUGGGUGGUGUGGGAUGCUGUGCUAACAUUAAAAAGAAUGAAGGAAAAAGUAAGAAAACAUGAAGAUAGAAGUAAAGGAGGCCAAGUGGGAGAGGAGGAAGAGGAGGGAGAGGAGGACGAAGGGAAUAACUAUUCUUUCUUCCCCUGAAACUUGUUCUCCUGGAGAAGUGGAUUUAGUAUUUAGUGGAAAUUAGAAAGGCUGGAGUGUUUUGUUUGUACUUGAGCCCUCAAUCUCUUGCCUAAAGUAGUAGAAAGAAGGAAAAGACAAGUCAUCUGCUCCUAGCAGUUUGUCCCUUUGUUUUCUAAGUUUCCCCUUCCUUGGCUGCCUCCUUCACAGCACUCGCUUGUGCCCCUCACCUUACAGGAGGAGCCUGAGACUGGGAGGGUAGAAGUGGGGGGUGGCGACAGGACGCGGGGUGGAGACACACAGAUAGGACACCCUGCCAUCUUCCUGCCUUUCCUUGUGAGACUCCUUGUGGUCCCUGACCCCCGGGCGCGUCUCUGCCUCUGCUCCUUUUGGGAAGUGGGAGGAGGAAAGCCCACCAGGUGCUCCUGAAAUUUGCCUCUCUGCAUAGAGCAAUUCUUUUAUUAACUAAAUCCCCAGCCCUAUUAUGUAGGAAUUAAAACAAAAACAGAACGAGGUGAAGCACCUUCUGGUUUGGGUUCUGGAUUUUGCUCUUGACCCCUUAGCUGUUCCUUACCAACCUCCUUCACUGAUUUCUCCUUAGUUUUAUGGCCCAGGUGCUGGAUUGUCCUAGACUGUCUUUGAACCACUUUCCCUCUCCUAUACUCACUAGUGUGAAUUUUUGUCUUGUGGCUUUAAUAUUGUCUAAAGGCUGACAUUCCUAAAUUUGCAUCUCAGUCUAGACUUCUGAUUCUGAAUUCCAGACUCAUGAAUCAUCCGUCCACCUGCCAUCUCCACUGGGGUGUCCACUAGACAUCUUACACUUAACAUGCUCAGAAACAAGUUCCUAGUGUCACGCAGGUUCUCAGCUGCUCUUACCUUAUCCUCCCAUCUGUUAAGGGCAACUCCAUUGUUACUGUUUACAACUAGAUGUCCCCCCAAAGCCUUAUGCCCUCAUAGGAAGAGCUUUUGGGAGACGGUUACAUCAGGGGUGUGUGCAGUCCCUUGAAAGGUUUAUGGGUGUAAUAUUGGGAGGUGAGCCCUCGUGGGAGGAGGCAGCCCACUGUGGACAUGACCUGAAAGGGAAUAAUCCUUCCUCCUCUCUUGAUCUCUCUUGGCUUUCUGCCUGCCAUUCUGUGGAUUGUUUCUUUUCUGCCAUGUCCUUCUGCCUUGGAGCCAGCCAACUGUGGCCUGAAACCUCUAUACACUGUGAGUCAAAAUAAAGCCUUGCUCCUUUAAUUUGUGGGUAUUGGGUGUUUUGUCCCAGAAGUGAGACAGUAACUAUGACAUUCGUCCUCUGAUUGUUCAGAUUCAACUACUUAAAGGUCGCCCGACUCUUCAACAACAAAGCUGGCUGGUUGUGUGUUGUUAUUCUUUUGUGAUCCCUCCUUGGCUUCCCAUCUCACUGUAAGUGAAUGCUAAAGUGAUAGCAAUGGAUUCAAGGCUCUAUGCAGUCUAAACAGUGGGCUGUUAUCACUUUCUCUUCUCUAUGGCCUCCUCACCUUUACUGUCCCAUGUGCAAAUAUCUUCUUUAUUCAUUUCUCUUUAGUUUUCCCUCAAAUAUGUCAAACAUGUUCCUACCUCAGGACCUUUACACUUGCUCUUCUCUUUUCCUCUAAGCAUUACACUGCCCCUUUUCACUUCCUUCAAGAACUUGCUCAAAUGCAUCCUUUUUAGGGUGCUUUAUUGAAAUGAUAUGAACUUCCCCUCUCCAACUGGCAUCGUCUUUUCCAUUCCUGUGUUUGUCUCCUCCAUAGUACUUCUGUUACUUACCCUGAGCUCCAAUUCACUUAUUUAUGUUUUGUCUGUUUCUGUCUGUCUCUACUUUAUUCACUCUAGCACCUAGAACAGUGCUUGGCAUGCACUGGGUACUCAAUACAUGAGGACCUGGGUAAGGCAGGCAUGUUAUUUUGUAGGAUAAGAUAUUUUGAUGUUUCAGAGCUGAGCUAACUGGUCAGGAGGGUCCACAGUGUUAGCUCAUCUGGAGCAAAUUGGAUUUUCAGGAAGAAGUCACAGUAGCCGAAAGCACACG